UGAGCCCAAAAACCUAUCCAUAUAUAUCUUGAUCAGAUGAUGAUGACAUGAUUGAUGAACUAAUAAAAUUUUUUUCUAUUGUUCAUCCCUGCUCUGAUCAGAGACUCUCAGAGCCAUCAUCUCAUGAGAUCACAUAGGAUGUUCUCUCUCCUCCUACAAGGAGCGAUCGAUUCUUUAUUGACCACUCAUAACCUCUAUGCACACUUCACCAA
rnacentral:lncRNA from 1 species